rnacentral:rRNA from 1 species
UACGGAGGGUCCAAGCGUUAUCCGGAAUUAUUGGGUUUAAAGGGUUCGUAGGCGGCUUGAUAAGUCAGGGGUGAAAUCCCGCAGCUUAACUGCGGAACUGCCUUUGAAACUGUCAGGCUUGAAUUCAAUUGGAGUGGGCGGAAUAAGUAAUGUAGCGGUGAAAUGCAUAGAUAUUACUUAGAACACCGAAAGCGAAGGCAGCUCACUAAGUUGACAUUGACGCUGAUGAACGAAAGCGUGGGUAGCGAACAGG